rnacentral:rRNA from 1 species
UACGUAGGGGGCUAGCGUUGUCCGGAAUCAUUGGGCGUAAAGAGCGUGUAGGCGGCCCGGUAAGUCCGCUGUAAAAGUCAAAGGCUCAACCUUUGAAUGUCAGUGGAUACUGCCGGGCUAGAGUCCGGAAGAGGCGAGUGGAACUCCUGGUGUAGCGGUGGAGUGCGCAGAUAUCAGGAAGAACACCAACGGCGAAGGCAGCUCGCUGGGACGGUACUGACGCUGAGACGCGAAAGCGUGGGGAGCGAACAGG